ACUUAUUGAUGUGAGUUAUUAUAGAAAUAUUUAAUGAAUUUUUAUUGUAAGUUGUGAAAAAUUAAAUUGUUUGUUUAUUUAGUAUUAAGGGUAUAGAUGGAAUGUUUUUGAAGUACUGUGAAGGAUAAAAGUGUUUAAUUUUUUUAUAGUAGAUUAAUUGUUCGUACCUUUUGUAUAAUGGGUUGAUGAUAUAUUUAAUUUUUAUAUAGAUUAUUCUCGAAUUGAAAAGAUUUACUUAGUAUAUAAUAUGUUGACGUUGUAUAGUCAUAUAUUUAGUAUUAAGUGGUAGUGAUAUGUUUAUCGGUUUUCAUGAUAGCUAGUUUAUUGAUUUAGAAUAUUUAAGUAUUGUAGUAUUAAAAUAAUUUUGUUUAUUUAAUAUUAUUUAUAUCAUGAGGGAUAAGCUUCAUGUUAAUUAUAGAAAUGGUUGUAUUUAAUUAUAAUUAAAGUAGAGUUAAUAAUGCUUUUCUUUAUAAGUAGUUUAAAUAUUUUUUUUUGUUUUAUUUCAAGUAUAAUUAGUCAUAAAUAUUUAUAAAUUGAAUUUAAGUAGAUAUAAUGUUGAUAUGAGUAUUAUUUAAUUUUAUAAAUUUAAUUAUUUUAAUUAUAAAUAAGUAGAGUUUUUAUUAAAAUUAAGUAGGGUAAAGGAAUUCGGCAAGUAUUAAUCUCGCCUGUUUAUCAAAAACAUGUCUCUUUGUAUAUUUUAGAUAAGGAGUUGGGCCUGCUCGGUGAUUAAAUUUAACAGCUGCGGUAUUUUAACUGUACUAAGGUAGCAUAAUAGUUUGCCUUAUAAUUUGAGGCUGGAAUGAAUGGUUUGACGAAGGUUAAUCUGUCUCUAUCUUAUUUAAUAGAAAUUAAUUUUUAGAGUGAGAAAGCUUAAAUUUUUUAAAGGGACGAGAAGACCCUAUUGAGCUUAUAAUUUUAGUUUGUUAUGAUAAAUAGUAUUGGAUAAAUUUUAAUUGGGGUGAUUAAGGAAUAAAUAAAUGAGGUAGUAACUUCCUUGAAAAAUAAAUAUAUAGAUUUAUGAUUUAACCAAUUAAUAUAUUGCUUAAAAUAUAGUUACCAUAGGGAUAACAGCGUAAUUUAUUUAGAGAGUUCUUAUUGAAAAAUGAGAUUGCGACCUCGAUGUUGGAUUAAAGUAACCUUAAGGUGUAGAAGCUUUAAUAGGUAAAUCUGUUCGAUUUUUAAAACUUUACAUGAUCUGAGUUCAGACCGGCGUGAGCCAGGUUGGUUUCUAUCUUUUAAAAUAUUAAUAGUUUCUUUUAGUACGAAAGGACCAAGGAUUAACUGAAUUGUUAAUUAUAAUAUUGGUGUAUUAAAUAAAAUUAAUAUAGGUUAAUUAAUUAAUAUAAUUAGGUUACAUUAAUUACA
rnacentral:rRNA from 1 species